rnacentral:rRNA from 1 species
UACGUAGGGGGCAAGCGUUGUCCGGAAUCACUGGGCGUAAAGCGCGCGUAGGCGGUUCGUUAAGUGGGAUGUGAAAUCCCCGGGCUUAACCUGGGAAUUGCAUUUCAAACUGGCCGACUAGAGUACGGUAGAGGGAGGUAGAAUUUCCUGUGUAGCGGUGAAAUGCGUAGAUAUAGGAAGGAAUACCAGUGGCGAAGGCGGCCUCCUGGAUCGAUACUGACGCUGAGGCGCGAAAGCGUGGGGAGCAAACAGG